rnacentral:lncRNA from 1 species
CCCAUCUUGAUCCUGGGGUACUGACAAGAAAUAUUUUGGAGAAGUUAGAUAGGGUAGAGGCAGAAGUAGACGCAAUUAAACAUGAAGGAUUGUGAAGGCAAAAGAUGAACCAGCCAGCCUAGUCUCUGGAUGCAUAAGCUCCAAGUGUGGAGGAGACCCGGAGAGAAAAGCAGACUGUUCUCUGUGUUUACCUGUAAGCACAGGCCGCAACCUGCCAUGCUGUUUUUAAAUGCCCAAGAGCUGGUGACAAGAGGGUUUCCCUUUGCCAUCUGGACCUGAUUGCCUUAGAGGCUUGGGGAGGAGGGGAGAGAGAGGAAGCUUCAAGAGUGUCUUUGUGGUUGCUGGUUGACCAGUAUAAACGGUAUUUACACAUUUAGAGUGGCAGACUCACCAGUACGUGAGAGAAUUGUCGAUGAUGCAGGCAACUUACAUGAAAUGUACCCCUCCAGCAUUCAACGCAGCAGAAUCACCUAGUAGAAGUUAUUCUCUUUCUAAUUUGUUUUCAGUUGUUUUAAUUUCAUCGAGUCUCAAGUUGGUGCUAGCCUAGGUCAUUAACACCUCCCGGACACUUGCUAACCUUGCCUUUUUUUUUUUUCCCGGACGGAGUCUUGCUCUGUCACCCAGGCUGGAGUGCAGUGGCAUCAUCUCGGCUCACUGCAACCUCCGCCUCCUGGAUUCAAGCGAUUCUCCUGCCUCAGCCUCCCAAGUAGCUGGGAUUACAGGCACCCCCAACUUUGGCCAAUUAAUUUUGGUAUUUUUAGUAGAGACAGGGUUUCACCAUGUUGGCCAGGCUGGUCUUGAACUCCUGACCUCAGGUGAUCCACCCAUCUCAGCCUCCCAAAGUACUGGGAUUACAGGUAUGAGCCACCAUGCCUGGCCUAAUCUUGCCUUUUAGCAACCAUGACAGCACCAGUCUUCAGGCUUACAGCGAGCGAGAGCAACCAGCUAUCUUUUAAUCAUAGUAUUGCUUUUGGUUGUAUUUAUUUUCUACAGACCAUGAGAGGGGCUUUUUGUUAUGGCUGGUUCUUUUUAGAGGAAAGACAAAUAAUGAAUCAGUAAUAAUUGAGUUGGAACAAGGAUACAGUGCCUCAUGGCAGAGGCCUGAAAAAGAGCCCAGAUUUCCAGCUCCUAUUCAGCGAAGUGGGUUCCCCAGGUGGCAGGCUGCAGAUCAAGCUUGGGGAAGGUUCUGGUCUGAGGUCAGUGGGUCCAGCUGGUCAGCAGAUGGCAACGAGGGAACUUUGGAUGAGAGUUGUUGUCGGAGCCCGCCGGCCUGGUUUUGCAGCCUGCUUGAAGCCCGUCUCUUCCCUGGGAUGACAGAAGCCAGUUCAUCAGUGUUCACCGUGGGACACGAGGCUGAGGAGAGUGGGUGGCUGCUGAAGUCACCUUUGCUUCUGGCGGCCAAACCUGAUUUUGCUCUGGGCGAUCAUUGUUCACUACUCUCAGAUCUGGGUUUGAGCAGACUGGACCCACCUCGGGCCAUCCGCGCUUGUCUUCGUUGCUUUGGGUACGGUGAUGGGUUCUAGAUGGGUAGUGAGAUGCAAAGAGGCUUUUUCUGGGAAUGCUGGGGCUGGAUCUUUCCCACUGGCUUUGAACCCAAGAAGGGGAGAUGCCAGAACCCCUGUAUCCCCUAUGAGGAGGGCGCUCACAGCAGAUAAUGGAGCCGAGAAACCCAAUCCUGAUGGUAUCGGUUCCAUCCUGGAUCCAGCUGUGCCCGAAGCUAGGCUCUACCCUUGGCCGCCUUUGGAGCUACCCACCAAGCCAAUAAAUUCCCCUUUCAUGUAAUCCAGUGAGGAUCAGUGUUUCGGUUGCUUGCAACCACAAGCGUCUUAACUGAUGAAAUGGCUCAUUGCAAAUCCUUGGCCACUGAGAGAGAAAGAACUCAAAGGGCAGGUACUGCGGACAUGGGUGAGGGACGUAGUCGCUAUACCCAUACACCAGCAUAGGAAAAGCUGUCAUUGUCACAGGAAGCUCCAACAUUUAGAUGAUCAUGUAUCAGGCACAGGCCAAGGGCCUGGCAUGCAAUGGUUUAUUUAAUCCUACGUUGGUUUAUUUUGAUCACCAUUUUAAAGAUUAGAAAACUGAGGCUCAGAGACCUUCUGUGGACCUCAGUGGCAGAGCUGGGUUGGGUUCCUUGACACUGUGUCGUCCCAGCCACCCUUCUGUAGUAAGCAAGUAGGUGGCUCACUGGCAAAUACAAAACUCAGACACUGUGUGAUGGGAAGGGGGACAAAGGG